AUUGAACGCUGGCGGCAUGCCUAACACAUGCAAGUCGAGCGGUAACAGGUCUUCGGAUGCUGACUGGUGGUGGACGGGGGAGUAAUACAUAGGAACGUACCCGAUCCUUGUGGGUAAGGGAGCGCAAGCUGUGCUAAUAGCUCAUACCAUCUACUGAUUAGAACCGCGGGGUUCAAGGCCGAGCGACGGCGUUGCUGCCGAUGGUAGAUUAGGUAGUUGGUAGGAUAAAAGCUUACCAAGCCAACGAUUUCUAGCGGGUCUGAGAGGACGACCAGCCACACUGGAACUGAGACACGGCCCAGACUCCUACGGGAGGCAGCAGUGGGGAAUUUUGGACAAUGGGCGAAAGCCUGAUCGAGCCAUGCCGCGUGAAGGAUGAAGGCCUUCGGGUUGUAAACUGCUUUUGUACGGAACGAAAAGACUCUUUCUAAUAAAGAGAGUCCAUGACGGUACCGUAAGAAUAAGCCCCGGCUAACUACGUG
rnacentral:rRNA from 1 species